rnacentral:rRNA from 1 species
ACUCCGGUUGAUCCUGCCGGACCCGACUGCUAUCGGAUUGGGAUUUAGCCAUGUUAGUUGUGCGUCCCUUGGCUACAGGGGACGCGGCGUACGGCUCAGUAACACGUAGUCAACCUGCCCUGGAGAUGCGGACAAACCCGGGAAACUGGGGCCUAUCCGCAAUAGAUGGCCUCAUCUGGAAGGAGAGGCCGUCGAAAGGGCGCACGGGUAUGCUCUGUGCGUACCGCUCCAGGAUGGGACUGCGGCCGAUCAGGCUGUUGGCGGGGCAAUGGCCCACCAAACCUGUAACCGGUACGGGCUUUGAGAGAAGGAGCCCGG